rnacentral:rRNA from 1 species
AUUGUCGAUGCCCGCAAAGCAGAACGACCCGCGAACACAUACGAAAACAUCGGGGGGGCGGGGGGGCACGAGCCCCUUCUCCCUUCCCCGUCGAGAAGCGGCCAGUGCUAGCGUGCCCCUCGACCACGGGUUAGGGGAAAGCGUCGGUGCUUGUCGUGUUCUUAGCCCCAUAACGAACCCCAGAGCAAACCGCGCCAAGGAAACUCAACUCGAGAGCAUGCGCGCCCGCCGCCUCGGUCUCGGGGUGUGCGGGAAGCGGUGCGAUCUUGUAUGUAUACACUAAACGACUCUCGGCAACAGAUAUCUCGGCUCUCGCAUCGAUGAAGAACGUAGCGAAAUGCGAUACUUAGUGUGAAUUGUAGAAUCCCGUGAACCAUCGAGUUUUUGAACGCAAGUUGCGCCCGAAGCCAUUCGGCCGAGGGCACGUCUGCCUGGACGUCACGCAACCCAUCGCCCCCCCGAACCCCGCUAUCCUUUUGGUGGCGUGGGGCUUUGCAGGGAGCGGAGAUUGUCCUCCCGUGAACCAUGGUGUCGCGGUUGGCUUAAAAGCGUGCCCCAGGCGAUGAACGCCAACGUCUCAAGCAGUGGUGGUUACCAAACCCCGGCAUCGAUGAUGUUUGCCUUGUGCGUUGCCACGUCGCCCGCGGCACAGAGACCCCCGAACGCGUCGCACACGCGAUGUUUCCAUCGCGACCCCAGGUCAGGCGGG